rnacentral:lncRNA from 1 species
ACAUACACAUCCACACGCCAGCCCAAUGCCACCCACGUGGGACCAUUGAUUUCACUACCUCCAGGCUUUCUCAGGGAAAAGAGGCCAAUAAUGGGAAGAAAGAAACCCCCAGCUCCCCCAACUUAUGAAGAUGGAAACUGGUGAUCUAGGAUUCCCAGAAAGGGUAGAGAAAAACUCACUUAGCCUCCUAGAUUCACAGAACUAGGCCAUGGUGUUGAUGCAGUGACAUGUGGUAACAGCACCCAGCACAGUGCCUGACAUUUAGCAGAGGCUGAGUCAUCUCCCUCCUCCCACUGCUCCCUGACUCCCUCUCACCACUCUGUGGAAGGCUGGAGGCAAGAUUCUGCACACAGAUAAAGGCAGCUGUGCCAACGUCAGUGUGCAAAGGCCCAGGGGCUCCGGGGCAAGCCAGCAAACCACCCUCUGUCUUUAUGCCCUGAGGCCUGGAACAAGAGCUCUAACUCCAGCAGAGAUGCCCAGCAUUUCCAGACAGGAGCUGCCUCUACUUAUUACAAACUGCAUUCAAGGCAUGGGCUUUGGAGACAAGCCUGGGGGAAACUGAAAGACUUCUGAUUUCUAUACUAGGAGCUGAAUAUGUAGAUGUCAACACCAACACCACACCACACACACACACACACACACACACAAAAACACCUAACACUUACACCAUACCCACCACUGAGGGAAAAUGACCUACUUUCCAGAACUUUCCAUUGCCUAGAAACUCCCAGUGUCUGCAUCAAACUGCAGCUCUCUUUAAGGCAGUCCAGACAGUGAUGGUGAGCUAAAGGACAGAGUCCUGAGUCCCUUUUGAAAAUUAUUAAGAACAAAUUAGGCCCAGGGGCCCUGGGGAGCCUGUGUCAUAAAACAUGAGAAAAUUGUGUCUUCCAGUCCUCUGGCAGUAUUUUCAUGAACUGGUGACAACUGAAUAGAAGAUAGAGAUUAUUUUUGUAUCUUGACCUUAGUCUAAAAUGCUAUUGAGAAAGCUGCACCUUACCAGUUAAGGGACUUACCUAGCUGUGAAAUAGUGACCCACGCAGUAUAGGAAGUUUAAUACAUUCAAAAAGUUCCAAGUGCACAACCAGUACAAUUUACUAAAGUAAGAGGCGACCAGGCGGGGAUGCUGCCUACACACUUGCUCACUUUUUCGUCCAUUAACAAAAAGUUCUAUUUUAUGCCAAGGCAACAUAAGAAUAUUAUUUUAUUGCACCAAGAAUGCCACCACCAUGAAGCAUGAGAGCUGUUGUUCUGACCCUAAAAAGGAGCUAACGUGGUUUAAAAGUAAUUAAGAAGGAAAGCUGACUCUCUAUGUUUUGCGCCUCCGUCAGCGUGGCUACUGGGUUCCCUGCAGCCUGCCAAAGUCGGCAAAAUGACAGUGCUUGUAACCACCCGAUUUCUAAAACUGUAAGCUUCUAUUGUGAAGAAGCUUGAUUUUCUGCUUUAGAAAUCCAUCACCUGCCGGUCGGUCCUCGUGGCAUAUUGCUAAGAGACACCACAAAGGGCCCAGGUGCACGCAUGGGGAAUCAAGUUCUUCUCUCCUUUUAAUUACAGGUCGGCAACCGUCAGGGGGAUGGUGGAGAAACUGCCUCCCUAAAACGUUCAUUAGAGAUGGCAAUUUGCUAGCGGGGAAACAAAAACGGCCUCCUUCAACUCACUCAUCUGCAGAAGCCCCCCCCCCCCAACCCCAAGGUGAAUUAUGCCUCUGUAAUCACACGCUGGCCACACUGAGGCUCUGGGCUCAGCCCAGAACGCUUCCAGAGGGGAGGCAGGGACAGAAAAGCAGAGGUCACAAGGAAAGAGCAAGCCCUGAAGAAAGCGUUCAGACGUCCCGAACCUGUGCGAACAGUUCCUUCUACUUCCUGUUUAAGCUGUUACCCACCCCGCAGGAGGGACAGUUGUUAUCUUAGUAAUUUCAAAAGCUAUUAAGUGAGGAUGAAGGAGGGAGCUAAGGAAGUGAGGUGGGAGGGAAGGAGUUUCUCUGUUUGUGUGCAUGUGUGCGUGUGUGCGUGCGUGCGUGUGUGUGUGUGUGUGUGUGUGUGUGUGUGUGUGUUGUGAGUCAGCAAAAGCCGGAAGCCUGACAAAAGACUUCAAACAACAAGCUGGAAAGGAGGACAAUAGCUUCCACCCCCAGACAGUGAGAAAUUGCAUUAUCCUAAGGGAUCGCGGCCACCCGUGCUCAGUGCAGAUAAGUGAGGAGCUCUCUGUUCUGGCCAAUAGGAGCCAGGCAGCCGCAGCUGCUCGCGGAAGCCCUGGGUGGCCUCCGUCCCAGCCGCUCCAAAUGGUUUCAAGGCAAAAGCACUGCAGCUGGGUGGUGCUCAGAAGCUCAGGGGGUGGGAGGGGAGGCUGACAAAGUGGAGGCUGGCAAGUUGCACCCCCCCACCCCCCCACACGCCAGGUGCUCUAAAUCCCCUCUCCCGCUUAGGGAAACCACACACAGGUCUCCAGGCUGACUCCUCAGGCAGCUGUGUCAGAGCCUGCCUCCCCAUCAUUCCACAGCACACAGUGAAACGGUGCCUCAGAGACGGCGGACCCUAUGGGGAAACUUCCCCGCCACACAGUUCUUCGUGCUCCAGGAGCAAGAGGAUAAUUAAUGCCACUUGGCCAAAGAGAGGGGCAUUCCAAAUGCAGUCAUCAAGGAGACUGAAGCCUCGCCACACAACCUACACUGCAGACACAAAGCCCUGGAGACAAAAAAAAGACUUGGGCAAAUCCGAUCAGGAACUUCCAUCUGCAGUAAAAAGGUGAAAUGCAAAAGGGUAUAUUCACUAUCCUGAGUGGAAAAAAAAAAAAAAAUCUUCAUAUUUGAGGAAAAGUAUAUGAAAGUUACAUCAGGGGUUAGCUCACUUCUGGAAAUACUAUUAUUUACGGGGGAAGAAUUAACUAAAUAAAAAAGCAUGCAUUGAAUA